CGGACGGGUGAGUAAUGUCUGGGAAACUGCCUGAUGGAGGGGGAUAACUACUGGAAACGGUAGCUAAUACCGCAUAACGUCGCAAGACCAAAGAGGGGGACCUUAGGGCCUCUUGCCAUCGGAUGUGCCCAGAUGGGAUUAGCUAGUAGGUGGGGUAAUGGCUCACCUAGGCGACGAUCCCUAGCUGGUCUGAGAGGAUGACCAGCCACACUGGAACUGAGACACGGUCCAG
rnacentral:rRNA from 1 species